GGGAAAAGCUCAAAUUUAAAAUCUGGCAGUUUUUGGCUGUCCGAGUUGUAAUCUAGAGAAGUAUUAUCCGCGCUGGACCGUGUACAAGUCUCCUGGAAUGGAGCGUCAUAGAGGGUGAGAAUCCCGUCUUUGACACGGACUGCCAGGGCUUUGUGAUGUGCUCUCAAAGAGUCGAGUUGUUUGGGAAUGCAGCUCAAAAUGGGUGGUAAAUUCCAUCUAAAGCUAAAUAUUGGCGAGAGACCGAUAGCGAACAAGUACCGUGAGGGAAAGAUGAAAAGAACUUUGGAAAGAGAGUUAAACAGUACGUGAAAUUGCUGAAAGGGAAACGCUUGAAGUCAGUCGCGUUGGCCAGGGAUCAACCUUGCUUUUGCUUGGCUUACUUUCUGGUCGAUGGGUCAGCAUCAAUUUUGACUGGUGGAAAAAGUUCAAGGGAAUGUGGCAUCUUCGGAUGUGUUAUAGCCUUUGUUCACAUACAUUGGUUGGGAUUGAGGAACUCAGCACGCCGCAAGGCCGGGUUUUUAACCACGUACGUGCUUAGGAUGCUGGCAUAAUGGCUUUAAUCGACCCGUCUUGAAACACGGACCAAGGAGUCUAACAUGCCUGCGAGUAUUUGGGUGAAAAACCCGAGUGCGUAAUGAAAGUGAAAGUUGAGAUCCCUGUCGUGGGGAGCAUUGACGCCCGGAUCUGACCUUUUGUGACGAU
rnacentral:rRNA from 1 species